AAAACAAAACUUUUCGCAAUCUAGUUGAAAAGGAAUUGAUUUCAUCGAGAUUUGAUUAGUGCAACAACUUUUGACAAUUCUAUGAGAAGAUUAAGAUGUAUACAAAUACCAUAACAAGUAGCAAGAGUCUUUUUGCUUUUCAAAAUGAAUUGGCUUAUUCGAAAAAGGCCUUGUUUUUUUAAAAAUCUAUCUCGUGUCUGUCUUUCUCUGUUUUGUUCCUUCCUUGGCAAGCUUGGGAUUUUGCUGGCAAGUAGCUCUCCUUUUUUCCUGUAGUUCAUGAUUUCCUCUCUAUGCCAAUAUCUAUUUAGUCAAAAGGCCUAGUGGUGCUUGCGGCUUUUCCUAUGGAUUAUUUUUUUCAGUUGAGUCAAAAAACUGGUAGCAGGGUGAUGUUAAUACAGAUGAAUUCUUAAGCCUGUUUGUAGUCAUUUCAGUCCACCUAAGAAAGAUGACAAAUAAGAAGCACCAAAAAAGGCGUUUGUAAUUUUCGAUGAAAACCAAAAUAGUAUAUAGAAAUUGAGGAGGCAAGGGAGGCCUUAGAUACUGAGAUUGAGACCUACAAUGAAGAAGUUAUCAAUGCCAUUAUACAAGAUAUAGACGUUGACAAGGUGGUGGAGACAACAACUGAACGUUGGCAGGGUCCGACAUACAACGAAGAUUACUUGUUCCAGAAUCAGUGGAAAUGGUUAACAAGCUUAAUUAAAUUGCAGUGCAGAUAAAACAUCACAAGUCCACAAUAACAAGUUCCUAGCAUGGUGGCAGACAGGCAGAGACUUUUCAUUUCAUAUG